rnacentral:rRNA from 1 species
GACGAACGCUGGCGGCGUGCUUAACACAUGCAAGUCGAACGAUGAAGCUGGAGCUUGCUCCGGUGGAUUAGUGGCGAACGGGUGAGUAACACGUGAGCAAUCUGCCCUUCACUCUGGGAUAACUGCGGGAAACUGUAGCUAAUACCGGAUACGAGACCUUGGGGCAUCCCAGGGUCUGGAAAGAAUUUCGGUGAAGGAUGAGCUCGCGGCGUAUCAGCUAGUUGGUGAGGUAAUGGCUCACCAAGGCGACGACGGGUAGCCGGCCUGAGAGGGGGACCGGCCACACUGGGACUGAGGCACGGCCCAGACUCCUACGGGAGGCAGCAGUGGGGAAUAUUGCACAAUGGGCGAAAGCCGGAUGCAGCAACGCCGCGGGAGGGAUGAAGGCCUUCGGGUUGUAAACCUCUUUUAGUAGGGAAGAAGCGCAAGUGACGGUACCUACAGAAAAAGCACCGGCUAACUACGUGCCAGCCGCCGCAGUAA